GUGAAGAUUACUUGGUGCUGUCGGAGCUUUAUAGAGUUUGCAACUACCAUAUAUCUCUUAUCAUUAGGUGCCAGGUGAACACACUGUUGUGGCAGACUCAGUCUGAUGGAGAUGUGGUCAAACAGAGCUGUGAAAUGUGCUGUCUUCAUGUCAAGCAAGCCCGGCUGCAUCAUCACCUUGGCAGACAUUAGCAAGCGCUCUGGAGCUUGUAAAGGCAACACAUUAUGAGGUCAAGAGCCUUACUUGGGGGAAUGCCACCUCACAAUACCUGCAACCCCCAUGAUGUAUGGAAAUGAUGUUGACAGGCAGGAACCUCAGGGCAGAUAAAGCAAUGAAGAUGGGUCUAGUGCACCAGCUUGUGGAUCCUCUGGGUAUUUUUCAGAAUGUGACAUUUCUUCAUCGCCGUACCACACUGCUGUGAUCUCCUGGUAUAUGCUGGAGUGAAUCAUCAGUUUAUGAUUGUUACAUUUCUGAUGGAGACUUGGACCUUUCACCCUGUUUCUUACGCUUUACUGCACCUUACAUUUCAUAUAAAGUGGACAUAUAGCUAUGUGAACAUACAGAUGUAAUUUAAUUUAUUACUACGCAUGGCUAAAUGAAUGAUAUCUGAGGUAUAUUUUGAGAACUCUAUUUCUGACGCAGUCGAACAUUUUAUUAUAGCAUGGCAACACAUCUGUGUUUCCUACAACAGAAAGAAGGACGUCUCAUGUUACCCUUAAUGGUAAUUGUUAAUACACUUAUCAACGCACAUAAUAGCCUUAAGAAACUGUUCAGUAAAUCAUUGAUCAGUAACACAAACUCAACAAUUACUUUAUUGGGCGCUUCUGACUUUGAGACUUUUCUCAUUAAACUUUAACUCCAACAACAAACUCCAAAUCUAAUACUUUUUAUCUUUUUGCCAAUUUCACGUCACAAAUGAGACAGAAAUAAAAACAAAUUAAGAAGGCUGUGCAUGAGACUCGGGCAGGGAAACGGUUCAGUGUUACAUCUGAGCUGUUAUAUGUCCUACCUUUAAAUUCCUUACAGGUCAAAUUCACCAUAUUUUUGUGUGGGUGUAAAAUCAUUGUUGAUGGUAAAUAAAGAUGUAGCUAUUUGUUAGUAAACUAGUCCCAGUCUGUGAUUCAGACAGGAAUUUGCUGAGACUCAAGUGUCAGUUCUACAGUUUGGCCACAGGGUGGCGUGGUUUUCUUCAGCAAAGUGUCAGCUUCAGUCAGUGGGGCUCAGCAGCCACUUGGUC